GCAUACUUUACAAAUUAUGUACGUAGCAUCAGCUGUAUUUCUUGCUGGAUGGAUUGACUGCAGUCAUUAGGUCCAAAUAUGUUCACGUAUUGCAGAUAUGAGUUUCUUUGAUACUUAUGGGAAUCAUGGGGACCUUGUUAUCCAAGUAUUGAGCAAUGUGCUAUUGAUCCAGUCAGCUCUCAACGAGAAAGUCGGUAACUGUACUCACAACAUGGCGACAUUUAUUGGUGGUCUUGUGAUUGGAUUGAUAAAUUGUUGCAACUUGCACCGUUAACACUUUCCACCGGACCAUUUAUUGUUGCUGCUGUAGGAAUAUGUAACAUAUUCCUCCACAGGCUUGUUGAAAACAUUCAAAAUGCAUAUGCUGAAGCCGCGGGCAUUGCG